rnacentral:rRNA from 1 species
AUUGAACGCUGGCGGCAGGCCUAACACAUGCAAGUCGAACGGUAACAGGAAACAGCUUGCUGUUUCGCUGACGAGUGGCGGACGGGUGAGUAAUGUCUGGGAAACUGCCUGAUGGAGGGGGAUAACUACUGGAAACGGUAGCUAAUACCGCAUAACGUCGCAAGACCAAAGAGGGGGACCUUCGUGCCUCUUGCCAUCGGAUGUGCCCAGAUGGGAUUAGCUAGUAGGUGGGGUAACGGCUCACCUAGGCGACGAUCCCUAGCUGGUCUGAGAGGAUGACCAGCCACACUGGAACUGAGACACGGUCCAGACUCCUACGGGAGGCAGCAGUGGGGAAUAUUGCACAAUGGGCGCAAGCCUGAUGCAGCCAUGCCGCGUGUAUGAAGAAGGCCUUCGGGUUGUAAAGUACUUUCAGCGGGGAUGAAGGGAGUAAAGUUAAUACCUUUGCUCAUUGACGUUACCCGCAGAAGAAGCACCGGCUAACUCCGUG